UUUCUUCUUCAUGAUGGAGACUGACUAGUUCUGAAAACGAACGUUUCACCGUCUCAUAAUUUUACCCUAUUAAUUCAGAUGUAUGGUGACUACACGUUUGGAUGAACAGACCAACGGGCGAGUCCCUUGACGGGUACCAGGAAUGGUGGAAGGACAAUCUGAAGUUGUCAAAGCAGAUCAGAAUGCCUUCGAAGACAACCUUCAGGCACGGACUGAGAAGAAUGUGGAGGUUUUUGACCAGGUAAUAAUUAUUGACUCCAGUGGUCAUGCCGCCACCCUGGAGUUUCUCACAACUCAUCUCUUUUCCAGGGAUCAUACCAACCCCACUGACAUCAAAAAUUAGACGGGUAUCCUUUCUUUUCUGUCUGCCGUUAACAUUGCAUGUCUAAUCAAACAUUUUAAAUUAAAUCAUUCAAUAACUAUUAUUACAUACCUGAUAAUCAUUUAACCUGCGUGUUUCCUUGUUUACGUCUGUCUCCUACCCUGCGCCCUUUUCUCUGCUCCUGUUCUCCAGGACCUAGGGGUUCUGCGUAACACCCAGACAUGGAUGCAUCUGAUGUCCUCCAUUACCAACAACCCUCCAACUUUUCAUUACAUCAGCUACUGUUAUUGUCAUGUUGUCAUUAUCUACUAAGAAAGAGCACGACAACUAUCAUACUGGGCACAUAAUGUGAGCUGCACAGAUUAGCUAAAAACACUAGCACUACAAACACUCAGAACAAAGAGGGCAGCAGCGCCUGGACAUUGCAUUUUCCCUCUUCGAGUCCACUACCUGCUGGAAAAACAAGUGACAGGCAGAACCUCCCAUACACACAAGACCCACUCUAUUCCACACACCAGAAUUCUGUAUUUCACUCUUAUUGCCAUGUGAAUGUACAAAAACAUCUGAAAGUAAAUUGACACAUGUACCAAAAAAAUAUCAAUGGUUAUGUAUUUAAAUCUAAAAUAUUGCUAUAUUGGUUUUCACAGCUGUUUCAUAAGAUGUUUGUUAUUCUAAAUUGUAACGUAUCCCUAUAUGGUAUUUGUUAUCCGCUCGAAAAUUAAGGUAAGUAUUUUUUCUAAACUAAGCUAUAGCCAAAUAUACUGCAUUUUUAACCAACCCCCUUCUGUCUAUUUAUGUAACUUGUAUACAAUAAAAUAGUUCUUUCAAAAUAACACUAAACAUAAUGCUUUAUAGCUACAAUAUAGCAAACGUUAGCGAACUAAUGACGAGCUCAUCUCUGCUGCCUGGAUGCUUUAACGUUGUUCUCGUCUGGAUUUCUUGCUAUUAGCUAGCACAUGAACAGUAGCCUACUGCAGUAGUCAGACUACACGAUUUACCACAAUUUUAUUUUUACACUGCACAAAUAUUUGUGAACAGUCAGCCCUCGAAUGCUAGCUAACUGACUUUCGUUUAUUGUAACAUUGACACUGUAUUUGUGCGGACUACAGGUUUGGAGGCCACUCUAAAAGCGAACCCUCUAUCCUGACACCUCUGGAGCAGUGGUGCAGGUAUAACAUGCAGCACUACAGAUGGGGCAAAACAAUGGAAUGGAGAAAAUACAGAAACACAGUGCAAACGCUUAUCAAAGACAAACUACUACAAAACUGAAAUCCAGGACCUAAAGAAGAAAACCCCUAAGGAAUUGUGGGACUACAUUAACAAAGGACUGGGACAAAAGAAAACAGGUCGAGGGAAUUGAAGACAACGAUGUUUUUAAUGUAUUACACUGCUCAAAAAAAUAAAGGGAACAC